rnacentral:rRNA from 1 species
UACGGGGGGGGCAAGCGUUGUUCGAAAUUACUGGGCGUAAAGGGCUCGUAGGUGGCCAACUAAGUCAGACGUGAAAUCCCUCGGCUUAACCGGGGAACUGCAUCUGAUACUGGAUGGCUUGAGAUUGGGAGAGGGAUGCGGAAUUCCAGGUGUAGCGGUGAAAUGCGUAGAUAUCUGGAGGAACACCGGUGGCGAAGGCGGCAUCCUGGACCAACACUGACACUGAGGAGCGAAAGCCAGGGGAGCAAACGGG